CGCGUAGGCGGGGAAGUGGGUCGGCCGUGAAAUCCACCGGCUCAACCGGUGAACUGCGGUCGAAACUGCUUCUCUUGAGCUGGGUAGAGGAAGGCGGAAUUCCUGGUGUAGCGGUGGAAUGCGUAGAUAUCAGGAAGAACACCAGUAGCGAAGGCGGCCUUCUGGGCCAUAGCUGACGCUGAGGCGCGAAAGCUGGGGGAGCGAACAGGAUUAGAUACCCUGGUAGUCC
rnacentral:rRNA from 1 species